rnacentral:rRNA from 1 species
ACCCUCCGGUGCCGCAGCAAACGCAUUAAGUAAUCCACCUGGGGAGUACGUACGCAAGAAUGAAACUCAAAGGAAUUGACGUGGACCCGCACAAGCGGUGGAGCAUGUGGUUUAAUCCGAAGCAACGAGAAGAACCUUACCAAGUCUUGUACAUCCUGGAUGACAGGGACGUAACGGUCCCCUUACUUCCGUACAUCCAAGACAGGUGGUGCAUGGUUGUCGUCAGCUCGUGUCGUGAGAUGAUGGGUUAAGUCCCGCACCGAGCGCAACCAAUUCUCUUUAGUUGCCAGUGGGCAGGGCCGGGCACUCUAGGGAGACUGCCGGGGAUAACCCGGACGAAGGCUGGCGAGGAUGUAAAAUCAUCAUGCCCCUUAUGAUCUUGGGGUACACAGGUGAUACAAUGGCGUAAACUGUGGGAAGCGAACCCGCGAGGGGGAGCAAAUCCCAAAAAUAACGUCCCAGUUGGGAUGGUAGCCUGCAACC